CGNAACAAGGGUUCUGUAGGUGAACCUGCGGAAGGAUCAUUAGUGAAUAUAGGACGUCCAACUUAACUUGGAGUCCGAACUCUCACUUUCUAACCCUGUGCACUUGUUUGGGAUAGUAACUCUCGCAAGAGAGCGAACUCCUAUUCACUUAUAAACACAAAGUCUAUGAAUGUAUUAAAUUUUAUAACAAAAUAAAACUUUCAACAACGGAUCUCUUGGCUCUCGCAUCGAUGAAGAACGCAGCGAAAUGCGAUAAGUAAUGUGAAUUGCAGAAUUCAGUGAAUCAUCGAAUCUUUGAACGCACCUUGCGCUCCAUGGUAUUCCGUGGAGCAUGCCUGUUUGAGUGUCAUGAAUACUUCAACCCUCCUCUUUCUUAAUGAUUGAAGAGGUGUUUGGUUUCUGAGCGCUGCUGGCCUUUACGGUCUAGCUCGUUCGUAAUGCAUUAGCAUCCGCAAUCGAACUUCGUAUUGACUUGGCGUAAUAGACUAUUCGCUGAGGAAUUCUAGUCUUCGGAUUAGAGCCGAGUUGAGUUAAAGGAAGCUUCUAAUCAGAAUGUCUACAUUUUAAGAUUAGAUCUCAAAUCAGGUAGGACUACCCGCUGAACUUAAGCAUAUCAAUAAGC
rnacentral:rRNA from 1 species